rnacentral:tRNA from 1 species
ACCUGGGUGGCUCAGUUGGUUAAGCAUCUGACUUUGGCUCAGGUUAUGAUUCAUGGUUUGUGAGUUUGAGCCCCACUUCGGGCU